rnacentral:tRNA from 1 species
GCCUGGCUAGCUCAGUCGGUAGAGCAUGAGAAUCUUGGGUCGUGGUUUCGAGCCCCACUUUGGGCG